GUUUAAACACCGGUUCCCGUAUGAUCACCAAAGUUAAGCAAUGUUGAGCCUGGUCAGUACCUAGAUGAGGUGACUGCAUGGGAAUACCAGGUACUGUAG